AACGAACGCUGGCGGCAGGCCUAACACAUGCAAGUCGAACGAGCUGAGACCUUCGGGUCUCGAUGCUAGUGGCGCACGGGUGAGUAACGCGUGGGAACCUACCUUGUAGUACGGAAUAACUAAGGGAAACUUUGGCUAAUACCGUAUACGCCCCUCGGGGGAAAGAUUUAUCGCUAUAAGAUGGGCCCGCGUCUGAUUAGGUAGUUGGUGAGGUAACGGCUCACCAAGCCGACGAUCAGUAGCUGGUCUGAGAGGAUGAUCAGCCACACU
rnacentral:rRNA from 1 species